rnacentral:rRNA from 1 species
ACGAACGCUGGCGGCGUGCCUAAUACAUGCAAGUCGAGGGAAUUGAUGGGAGCUUGCUCCCUGAAAUUAGCGGCGGACGGGUGAGUAACACGUGGGUAACCUGCCUGUAAGAUUGGGAUAACUCCGGGAAACCGGAGCUAAUACCGGAUAAUAUUUUGAACCGCAUGGUUCAAAAUUGAAAGAUGGUUUCGGCUAUCACUUACAGAUGGACCCGCGGCGCAUUAGCUAGUUGGUGAGGUAACGGCUCACCAAGGCAACGAUGCGUAGCCG